GAUGAACGCUAGCGGCAGGCCUAAUACAUGCAAGUCGGACGGGAUUGGGGAGCUUGCUCCCCAUGAGAGUGGCGCACGGGUGCGUAACACGUAUGUAACCUACACUUGUCAGGGGGAUAGCCUCUCGAAAGAGAGAUUAACACCGCAUAACAUUAUUGGAUGGCAUCAUUUAAUAAUCAAAUAUUUAUAGGACAAGGAUGGGCAUGCGGGACAUUAGCUAGUUGGUAGGGUAACGGCUUACCAAGGCUACGAUGUCUAGGGGAUCUGAGAGGAUGGCCCCCCACACUGGUACUGAGACACGGACCAGACUCCUACGGGAGGCAGCAGUAAGGAAUAGUGGUCAAGGGGCGCAAGCCUGAACCAGCCAUGCCGCGUGCAGGAAGACGGCCCUACGGGUUGUAAACUGCUUUUGCGCCGGAAUAAACCCUUUUACGAGUAAGAGGCUGAAUGUACGGCGAGAAUAAGGAUCGGCUAACUCCGUGCCAGCCGCCGCGGUAA
rnacentral:rRNA from 1 species